GUCCACGCCCUAAACGAUGUCGAUUAGCCGUUGGGAUCAAUAAAGGUCUUAGUGGCGCAGCUAACGCGAUAAAUCGACCGCCUGGGGAGUACGGCCGCAAGGUUAAAACUCAAAGGAAUUGACGGGGCCCGCACAAGCGGUGGAGCAUGUGGUUUAAUUCGAUGCAACGCGAAGAACCUUACCAGGCCUUGACAUCUAGCGAACUUUCCAGAGAUGGAUUGGUGCCUUCGGGAACGCUAAGACAGGUGCUGCAUGGCUGUCGU
rnacentral:rRNA from 1 species